GACGAACGCUGGCGGCGUGCCUAAUACAUGCAAGUCGACCUUAGUGGCGAACGGGUUAGUAACACGUGGGUAACCUGCCCAUCAGAAGGGGAUAACACUUGGAAACAGGUGCUAAUCCCGUAUACUGAUUGAUGGACCCGGGGUGCAUUAGCUAGGUGGUGAGGUAGCGGCUCACCAAGGCCACGAUGCAUAGCCGACCGAGGAGGGUGAGCGGCCACAGUGGGACUGAGACACGGCCCAAACUCCUACGGGAGGCAGCAGGAGGGAAUCUUGGGCAAUGGACGAAAGUCUGACCGAGCAACGCCGCGUGAGUGAAGAAGGUUUUCGGAUCGUAAAACUCUGUUGUUAGAGAAGCGGUAUCUAACCAGAAAGCCACGGCUAACUACGUGCCAGCCGCCGCGGUAAUAC
rnacentral:rRNA from 1 species